rnacentral:rRNA from 1 species
UCAUCUGUUGCCAGCAUUUAAGUGGGGACGUCAGAUGAGACUGCCGGUGACAAACCGGAGGAAGGUGGGGACGACGUCAAGUCAUCAUGGCCCUUAUGUCCUGGGCUACACACGUGCUACAAUGGCCGGUACAGAGUGAAGCGAAACCGCGAGGUGAAGCAAAACGCAGAAAGCCGGUCUCAGUACGGAUUGGAGUCUGAAACUCGACUUCACGAAGUUGGAAUCGCUAGUAAUCGCGCAUCAGCAUGGCGCGGUGAAUACGUUCCCGGGCCUU